UACGUAGGGGGCAAGCGUUGUCCGGAUUUAUUGGGCGUAAAGAGCGUGUAGGCGGCCAUGCAGGUCAGCUGUGAAAACUCGAGGCUCAACCUCGAGACGUCGGUUGAAACCGUAUGGCUAGAGUCCGGAAGAGGAGAGUGGAAUUCCCGGUGUAGCGGUGAAAUGCGCAGAUAUCAGGAGGAACACCGGUGGCGAAGGCGGGUCUCUGGGCAGUAACUGACGCUGAGGAGCGAAAGCGUGGGGAGCGAACAGG
rnacentral:rRNA from 1 species